UUUUUUUUUUUUUUUUUUUUUUCAGCUUUGCUCCUUCUUGUCCAAAUCAGCAUGGUUUUUCAAAAAGCAUCCUAGCACAAAAUGGCUAAGGCUAGGAAAUAAAAGGAAAAAUUGAUGAAAUGUA
rnacentral:ribozyme from 15 species